rnacentral:lncRNA from 1 species
CUGAGAGGGCGGCUGGGGUCGCUCUCCGGGGGUCGCUUCGAGGCGGGGGUUCUUGGGCUUCGCUCUCUGGGGCGGAGUUCUGCGGCUUCGGGGGCUCUCAGGGGUAGGGGAUGCGAUAGGGCUGCACCGCGCCUGUGGGAGUUCAGAGCAGACUCGUGUGUCACAGAACUGUGAGAUCAGAAAAAGCACCCAUGAGACAUUUGGGUAAAUACACGUGGAGUUUACAAAAUGUCUGAGGCCACCAGAACCACAUUCAAACCGGGGAAAGAACGAUGGAUGAUUUAGUGGAGGAGAGAGAGGUGAGAGUAAGUCUUGCCUGUGCGCUUCCCAUUUCCCGGACCUUAUCUACAGCAAGCGGCAGCCAAUAUUUGUCAAUUCUAUAAUCUCCAAUUUCAAUCCCUGGAUGACGUCCUACCGUGUCGUCGCCUGGUGUUUCCUGCCAUUAAUGCCUCAGCCUCCAUCUCCGCGUCUCCGGCAGGAAGCAGCGCCCUGCGCUGGAAAGAGCCAGCUGGGAAGUCA